rnacentral:hammerhead_ribozyme from 1 species
GCACUGCUGAGGAGUCCCAUAUUAGGACGAAACAGCUGUCCAAUGC